rnacentral:rRNA from 1 species
GUAGGUGGCAAGCGUUGUCCGGAAUUAUUGGGCGUAAAGCGCGCGCAGGCGGUUCUUUAAGUCUGAUGUGAAAGCCCACGGCUCAACCGUGGAGGGUCAUUGGAAACUGGAGAACUUGAGUACAGAAGAGGAAAGCGGAAUUCCACGUGUAGCGGUGAAAUGCGUAGAGAUGUGGAGGAACACCAGUGGCGAAGGCGGCUUUCUGGUCUGUAACUGACGCUGAGGCGCGAAAGCGUGGGGAGCAAACAGGGAUUAGAUACCCUGGUAGUCCACGCCGUAAACGAUGAGUGCUAAGUGUUAGGGGGGUUUCCGCCCCCUUAGUGCUGCAGCUAGCGCAUUAAGCACUCCGCCUGGGAGUACGGCCGCAAGGCUG